rnacentral:rRNA from 1 species
AACGAACGCUGGCGGCAUGCCUAACACAUGCAAGUCGAACGAGAACUUCGGGUCUAGUGGCGCACGGGUGCGUAACGCGUGGGAACCUGCCCUUAGGUUGGGAAUAACUCCCCGAAAGGGGUGCUAAUACCGGAUAAUGUCUUCGGACCAAAGAUUUAUCGCCUUUGGAUGGGCCCGCGUUGGAUUAGCUAGUUGGUAGGGUAAAAGCCUACCAAGGCGACGAUCCAUAGCUGGUCUGAGAGGAUGAUCAGCCACACUGGGACUGAGACACGGCCCAGACUCCUACGGGAGGCAGCAGUGGGGAAUAUUGGACAAUGGGCGAAAGCCUGAUCCAGCAAUGCCGCGUGAGUGAUGAAGGCCUUAGGGUUGUAAAGCUCUUUUACCCGGGAUGAUAAUGACAGUACCGGGAGAAUAAGCUCCGGCUAACUCCGUG